CAUGCCCUUUAUGUCUUGGGCUUCACGCAUGCUACAAUGGCUGGUACAGAGAGAGGCGAACCCGUGAGGGUAAGCGAAUCCCUUAAAGCCAGUCUCAGUUCGGAUCGUAGUCUGCAAUUCGACUACGUGAAGUCGGAGUCGCUAGUAAUCGCAGAUCAGCAACGAUGCGGUGAAUACGUUCCCGGGCCUUGUACACACCGCCCSUCAGUCGCGAAAGUCGGUAACACCCGAAGCCGGUGUCCCAACCCA
rnacentral:rRNA from 1 species